UCUCAGACAGCCCCAGGCAGGGUCCCCCCCAGCGGCAGGGCCUGUGUGCGUCUUUCCUGCUGCCAGCUGGUGACGUCAGCCCACCGUCUACCGUGUGCAGGGUUCUGGCCAGCUCCAGUGGCUGUUGGAUAAUUAUGAAACGGCGGAAGGUGUGAGUCUCCCCAGAAGUUCUCUUUACAACCACUACCUUCGGCACUGCCAGGAGCACAAGCUAGACCCAGUGAAUGCCGCCUCCUUCGGGAAACUGAUCCGUUCUGUGUUUAUGGGGCUGAGAACGCGGCGGCUGGGCACCAGGGGCAACUCGAAGUACCAUUACUAUGGGAUUCGUCUGAAGCCAGACUCUCCACUGAACCGGCUGCAGGAGGACACGCAGUACAUGGCCAUGCGGCAGCAGCCCAUGCACCAGAAGCCCAGGUACCGGCCAGCCCAGAAGACGGACAGCCUCGGGGACAGCAGCUCCCACAGCGGCCUGCACAGCACUCCAGAACAGACCACGGCCGCGCAGAACCAGCACCACCAGCAGUACAUAGAUGUCUCCCACGUCUUCCCCGAGUUCCCAGCGCCCG
rnacentral:sRNA from 1 species